rnacentral:rRNA from 1 species
UAGGGAAUCUUCCGCAAUGGGCGAAAGCCUGACGGAGCAACGCCGCGUGAGUGAUGAAGGUCUUCGGAUCGUAAAACUCAGUUAUUAGGGAAGAACAAAUGUGUAAGUAACUAUGCACAUCUUGACGGUACCUAAUCAGAAAGCCACGGCUAACUACGUGCCAGCAGCCGCGGUAAUACGUAGGUGGCAAGCGUUAUCCGGAAUUAUUGGGCGUAAAGCGCGCGUAGGCGGUUUUUUAAGUCUGAUGUGAAAGCCCACGGCUCAACCGUGGAGGGUCAUUGGAAACUGGAAAACUUGAGUGCAGAAGAGGAAAGUGGAAUUCCAUGUGUAGCGGUGAAAUGCGCAGAGAUAUGGAGGAACACCAGUGGCGAAGGCGACUUUCUGGUCUGUAACUGACGCUGAUGUGCGAAAGCGUGGGGAUCAAACAGG